rnacentral:lncRNA from 1 species
CAAUCAGCAGAAUACUCCUGUCAGUUAAUUUGCACCAACUUAAGGUCAGCAAUUGAAACUUCCCAAGUUUGCGUCAUCCCUAAUGAGGAGGAUUUUGUGUGUCGUGACAAUGGCUGGCCCUCCACAGCAGCUGGCUGCUCCGUUCGUAAGAAAUGUCCAGUCGGUUAUGUUGGGAAAUAUAUCAUCAGGGAAUGCUCAGAGACAUCAUUUAAACCAUUCAAUGGAUCUUUAUGCGUUAGGUCAGAGAUUGCACGUGCGAAUCAAACGGUAAAUUUCUUCUUUCCAAGUGAUUUUGAAUAUAAAAUUCAAACCGUACGGAUUUGUACAAGCAUGUUAAAAUUUUAAUUUAUUUGAAAAAAUAUUUGUAAUAAUGGUAACUCUUUGCCUUAUAUUUUGAUUAAUACAGAUGAUUCUAAGUUAGCAGUGGCCCAUUUUUAAUGGUUUCCACAUCUUCUGACACAAAAAUCUCCAAAGGUGAGCCACAAUUAGCUUGAAAAACUUCUGCGUCUAUCAAAACAUUGCAGAAGUAGAAAAGCAUUUUUGUAAAAUUUCCAAUUUUGCAUUUAUAUUAUUAUCAUAAGUAGGUAACAACAAUGUGAGACCAGAUUCAACUUGUUAGGAAGUAAAACUCAAUCAUCGCGUAGUCAGAAGUGAUGCCAAAAUUGAGACUUUUCACAUCCACUGAUUAAUUUUUGCAGUUUCUCGGCUCAGAAGAAAAAUUUGAAUACUACAAAUUAGAUUGCUUCAAGCUAACGUCCUGUUUUUCUUACUGACAAUAAUUCUAUAUCUUUUAACCAUAUUUUCGAGGAAGUAAUUUUAUUAAUUGUUUAUUGGUGUUUCAGUUGAAUCAGCUGGUGAUGGGCUAUCAAAUGGAAAUGUAGAGGAUUUGCUUAUAUCCUACAAUAAUUUUUGAGCAAAAAUUUAACAUUUUUAUCUGGAGAGAACGUUGAUUUGUUUUUCAACCUUAUGGAUGAUUCUUGCAAUCUAGUUGAGUCAAUUUUCUCCUCCCACUCGCUCUCUUUGGAAGUUGAUCUAACAGCAGUGAUGAAAAUGUCUUUUGGCAUUUUCAGCCAUCUGCUACGACAUUUUAGUUCAAUUGAUUCUACUCAGGUUUUACUAUCUAUCAGUAACAUGAUGCACCCAUGGAUAUUCAUGUAUGAGAAAUACUCAGUCAGGAAAGAUGGACACUUCAACUUCAGUUCUCCAAACUUCUAUGCUGUUUCAAGGGCAAUUAAUCAUGUUGGAAGAAAACCAGACUUUCUAAUGGAAAUUAGGUCCAGUGGUAGCAGUUUGGGUUCACCUUUAGUUGGUGUAAAUUUUCAGAAGUUCCAGUUCAAUGACUCUUCAUUCCAGGAACCUAGUGUUUCUGUAAUUUUAUUCAGAAAUUCCUCCUUGUCUCUAACAACCAGAAUUUUGCAAGACUUUCAAAAAGAAGGCGUCAUUUUACCCGAAGCUGAAAGCAUUAUGGUGAGUGUAGCCAGCAAUGAAGCAGACCUAACUAUCUCUGAUGAAGUCAAUCUCACAAUGGACUGGAAGCUUCUUAUGGCUGAUAGGUGGGAUGUAAAAUGUGCCUUAAUUCAAGGAGAUGAAUUUCCACUAAACUUCUCUGUCUGUGUUACCAACCAUGUGGCCAGGGAUAUUCAUAGAUGUUCGUGUUCCAAGUUGGGCACCUUCAGUUUGGUGCGCACCUUUAAACCUCAGGAACCAAGUUGUACCUUGACUCGUGCUAUCCAACUUACUUCAAUAUUAGCAACAUUAUUGGCUGGAUGUAUAAUAGCUAUUAAUUUGAUGAGAAAGCUCUCUUUGCAGUUAUUCUUGAAGUUGUUUUGUAGUCUAGUUUUACUGUGGUAUUUGUUACAAGUAUUUUUCUUCUCGAAUACUUCAAUGUUUGGAUUAUCUUGCCUGCAAAUUUUAAUUAUCUCCUUAAUAGCCAGUCAAUCUGUAGUCAUUUAUCUCAAGACAAAUGAACUGCUGAAUAUCUACAAAUACACAAUAGUACUUGUGGCUGUUGGUUUUCCGGUUUUACUUAUGUUGUCUGUUGGUUACGCUAUCAGAUUAGCAAAUAUUUCAAAUUCAGGUGCAAAGAUUACCGUACUGUGGUUGUUGCUUAUUUUUAAUUUUCUUCAAUUUGCUCUAUUUUUUGUCUUCGCCACAAAUUGA